GAGAGAGAGAGAGAGAGAAACUGUGAAAGGAGAAGAGGAGUAAUCGAUCUGGAUUUGUUUAAUCAAUACCUAUCACAGCUCCCAAAUUGAAAUUCCACUGAUAGUCUGAGAGAGGAAGAUUUGACUAAAAUCAAAUAGAAAAGGCUUCGUCUGUGAACAUACUUCUUUUCUUAUUUCUUUUUCUUUCUUUAGCUAUCCUUUGAUUUUAAUGAAAUUUACAGGAACUUACUGAUUCGGCGAAGCACAAGAGAACGGCUUUGAGUCUGAGUUUAUUUCAGGGUCUUUACUGACAGAGGUUGCUCUCUAGAGAAAGAAAGGAGACGAAACAAAGAGAGAGGGAGAAGAGAACGGGGAAUAAGGAAAAG